rnacentral:lncRNA from 1 species
CUGCAGCUAUCAGCAAGGCCAGCCCAGAGAAAGAAAGGCAACAAUAGACCAACAAAGAUGCCAUAGGCCACGCCUUCCUGCUUUAUCCUCCUCCUGUAUCCCUUCAUUCUUCUUCUCCUCUUUCCUCCCCUCCCAAACUCCUUCCUUCCCUCAUUCCUCCACUUUCAUCUCUUUGCUAUUUCUAGAAAGAAUCUUUUGUCUUGCUAGGCAGAGCAUUUAUAACAAAGGAAAGACAGGAGGUGUAGAUGAUGAAGCAGAGUAGAGCACUUUUAACUGCAAGAGUGUUAGGAUAUGAACACUGCUGUUAGGAUAGAAAAGAGAAAAUCCUCAGACAUUUUUUUUUUCCAGAGCAAGAGAAAAUCCAGUGACUGAAAAAGAAUAAGAAGAAAAACACUGACCAAGGCAAUAAUUCCAAGAAGUCAAAAAUUAAGGCCUGAGAGGAAGAAGGCAGACUAAAGAAAGUAGGUAAGACAGUGACCUGAACGAAAGUGCUGGCUCCAUGCUCUGUGACGUUGGGCGUCCUCACUGACCUCGGAAGCAUGGUCUUGGUGACACUGGUCAGGUGCAUGAAGUGUUAGAAAAUUUUAUUAAAGAUUCCAUGGUUGCA